rnacentral:rRNA from 1 species
CCUGGCUCACCAUUAGCGCUAUCUACAGGCUUAACACAUGCGAGUCGAGGGGCAGCAUUUCAGUUUGCUUGCUAACUGGAGAUGGCGACCGGCGCACGGGUGAGUAACACGUAUCCAACCUGCCGAUAACUCGGGGAUAGCCUUUCGAAAGAAAGAUUAAUACCCGAUGGCAUAAUUAGACCGCAUGGUCUUAUUAUUAAAGAAUUUCGGAUAUCGAUGGGGAUGCGUUCCAUUAGGCAGUUGGUGAGGUAACGGCUCACCAAACCUUCGAUGGAUAGGAGUUCUGAGAGGAAGGUCCCCCACAUUGGAACUGAUACACGGGCCAUACUCCUACGAGAGGCAGCAGUGAGGAAUAUUGGUCAAUGGGCGCAGGCCUGAACCAGCCAAGUAGCGUGAAGGAUGACUGCCCUAUGGGUUGUAAACUUCUUUUAUAUGGGAAUAAAGUUUUCCACGUGUGGAAUUUUGUAUGUACCAUAUGAAUAAGGAUCGGCUAACUCCGUGCCAGCAGCCGCGGUAAUACGGAGGAUCCGAGCGUUAUCCGGAUUUAUUGGGUUUAAAGGGAGCGUAGGUGGAUAGUUAAGUCAGUUGUGAAAGUUUGCGGCUCAACCGUAAAAUUGCAGUUGAUACUGGCUGUCUUGAGUACAGUAGAGGUGGGCGGAAUUCGUGGUGUAGCGGUGAAAUGCUUAGAUAUCACGAAGAACUCCGAUUGCGAAGGCAGCUCACUGGACUGCAACUGACACUGAUGCUCGAAAGUGUGGGUAUCAAACAGGAUUAGAUACCCUGGUAGUCCACACAGUAAACGAUGAAUACUCGCUGUUUGCGAUAUACAGUAAGCGGCCAAGCGAAAGCAUUAAGUAUUCCACCUGGGGAGUACGCCGGCAACGGUGAAACUCAAAGGAAUUGACGGGGGCCCGCACAAGCGGAGGAACAUGUGGUUUAAUUCGAUGAUACGCGAGGAACCUUACCCGGGCUUAAAUUGCAUUUGAAUAAUCUGGAAACAGGUUAGCCGUAAGGCAAAUGAGAAGGUGCUGCAUGGUUGUCGUCAGCUCGUGCCGUGAGGUGUCGGCUUAAGUGCCAUAACGAGCGCAACCCCUAUCUUUAGUUACUAACAGGUUAUGCUGAGGACUCUAGAGAGACUGCCGUCGUAAGAUGUGAGGAAGGUGGGGAUGACGUCAAAUCAGCACGGCCCUUACGUCCGGGGCUACACACGUGUUACAAUGGGGGGUACAGAAGGCAGCUACCUGGUGACAGGAUGCUAAUCCCAAAAGCCUCUCUCAGUUCGGAUCGAAGUCUGCAACCCGACUUCGAGAAGCUGGAUUCGCUAGUAAUCGCGCAUCAACCAUGGCGCGGUGAAUACGUUCCCGGGCCUUGUACACACCGCCCG